rnacentral:rRNA from 1 species
AUACGUAGGUGGCGAGCGUUAUCCGGAUUUACUGGGCGUAAAGGGUGCGUAGGUGGUCUCUUAAGUCAGGAGUGAAAGCCCACGGCUUAACCGUGGAGGGUCAUUGGAAACUGGUCGACUUGAGUGCAGAAGAGGGAAGUGGAAUUCCAUGUGUAGCGGUGAAAUGCGUAGAGAUAUGGAGGAACACCAGUGGCGAAGGCGGCUUCCUGGUCUGUAACUGACACUGAGGCGCGAAAGCGUGGGGAGC